rnacentral:rRNA from 1 species
UACGUAGGUGACAAGCGUUGUCCGGAUUUACUGGGCGUAAAGAGCGCGCAGGCGGUCGAUCAAGUCGAGUGUGAAAGCCCCCGGCUCAACUGGGGAGGGUCAUUCGAUACUGAUCGACUCGAAGGCAGGAGAGGGAAGUGGAAUUCCCGGUGUAGUGGUGAAAUGCGUAGAUAUCGGGAGGAACACCAGUGGCGAAGGCGGCUUCCUGGCCUGUUCUUGACGCUGAGGCGCGAAAGCUAGGGGAGCAAACGGG